UCUCUCUCUCUCUCUUCUUCACUUCAGUGGUCGCUCUCACGCGUAAACGCAAACCCAUAGGUCCUCUUCUUCAAGAUUUUCAAGAACUAACAUGUCUCUUCCUUACACUUCUCUUUCAUUUCUCUGAAUUUCUUUUUUUUGGUUCUCAUGAAAACUCAUAACCCCACUUGGAAGAAUUUCGAUUUAACUUCCCUUUCAAGCUCCAAAGCCUAGAAAAAUCCUAUCUUUCUCUUUCUCCUUCCUCUGCUUCCUUUCCAAGUUUAUGGCUUGAAAGUUGAAAGUCUCUGUGGUUUUGUUUUGCAGAGUUGGUGGUUGUGGUGGUGGUGACGGUGAUGGUGAUGGUGAUGGUGAUCAGGAUGGUGAUGGUGAUCAGUAUGAUGAUUCAUCCAGAGAGGAAGUGAUGGUGAAGAAAUGGAUUCUGAGACUGAGGCAAGUGGUGAUGGAGAGAGCGAUGAUGACAAUGAAGACGAAGAUGAAGAUGAAGAUGAUGACGAUGAGGAUGAUGAUGAUGAGGAG
rnacentral:misc_RNA from 1 species